AUGGGGCUGAACUGUGCAUCUGUGGGACUGAGCUGUGAGCUUAUGGGGCUGAGCUGAGCCUCUGUGGGGAUGAGCGGAGCCUAUGGGGCUGAGCUGUGAGCCUAUGGGGCUGAACUGUGCAUCUCUGGGGCUGAGCUGUGCAUCUAUGGGGCUGAGCUGAGCCUAUGGGGCUGAACUGUGAGCCUGUAGGGCUGAACUGUGCAUCUAUGGGGCUAAGCUGAGCCUAUGGGGCUGAACUGUGCAUCUAUGGAGCUGAGCUGUGAGCCUAUAGGGCUGAGCUGUGCAUCUGUGGGGCUGAGCUGUGCGUCUGUGGGGCUGAGCUGUGAGCCUAUGUGAUUGAAUCUAUGGGGUCUAUGAGCUGUGCUGUGAGCCCAUGGGGCCAUGAACAGUCUAUGGGGCUGUGCUGGGCUGCGAGAUUAUGGGGCUGUGCACUGUGAGUCUAUGGGGCUGUGCUGCACGCUUAUGGGGCCGAAUGCUGUGAGCCUGUGGGGCUGCGCUGUGAGCCCAUAGGGCUGUGCGCUGUGAGUCUAUGGGGCUGUGCUGUGAGUCUAUAGGGCCACGCACUAUGAACUUUUGGGGCUGUGCUGUGAGCCCGUAGGGCCGUGCACUGUGAGUUUAUAGGGCUGUGCACUGUGAGUCUAUAGGGCUGUGCUGUGAGCCUGUGGGGCCAUGUGCUGCGAAUCUAUAGGGCUAUGGGGCAAUGCUGUGAGCGAGGUGUGGGGCAGAAUAGGACUGCGGGAUCCCUGGAAGGAUUUUGCUGCCACGUGGCCUCCGUGCUGCCCUGGAUCCUCAGCUGCCGGCAGCUGCCAGCCCGGACCUAUUGGCCACCACAGCUGCCGUUCCCAAACCCCGUUUGACUUUCUGGCCCCAUAGAGCCGUCCCUGGGAAUACUCACAACAGCGCCGGGGGGGCCGGGAGCGCCUCUCUCUCCGGGUUUGCCGGGCUCACCCUGCGAGGAAGAGAGUGGGGUGAGGUGUGCGUCAAAACCACAGCGCCCCCAUACAUGGAUGGACCCCCCCAUACACAUAUAGGGACACCGCCCCUGAGCCCCCCCCACACACACACCGUGGGGCUCUGUGAGCCUGUGUGGGGCCACGUGCUGCCAACCUAUAGGGCUCCGCGAGAGCCUCGCGCCACACAUCUGACAUGAAGCCCCCCACGCAGCCCCCCCUCCUCCCACCCCCCACCCCCCUUUUUGAGCACCCCAUCCAUGUGCACUCACCGCAGCGCCUUUGGGACCGGGGAAACCCAUCACACC
rnacentral:lncRNA from 1 species